AGUGUGUUGGUGCUGGAGGAUAGGGUGUUCCUGCACAGAGAGAGCCCUCAACUGAGGAAUUUGCUCCUCACAAAGGUAUGCCAAAGCCCUGAGGCUUCCUGCAUUUAGGGUGUGAUGUAAGAUACUGCUCUUUGUUGAGAGCUUUUCUCCUGACAUCCUUGCAAGCCAGGCAGAUGUGUGGAUAUCUCCUAGUAGUUACCCCUGGAAGGAAACUUUACUGGAUAACCUAAGGGGUAAACAGUGCUCAGAGCUGAAUUAAAAAGCGUUGUCUCUGUUUACUCCAGUUCUGUAUGUGCUGCUAACUAUUUCUAGGGCAAAGCACUCAUGUUUAUUCACAGUGGCCAGUUUUCAGUAUUGACUUCCAGACCUGCAGAAGUGUCCUCUUUGAAAUCCAGAAGCAUGAGGAAUUGGCCAAGACUCCAGGUUUCACUCCAGACCCAAAGCUCAGAUCACAGUCAGUGAAGGAGCCACUGAGGGGAGAUGGGAAUGGAUGGCUUGGAAGUGCAUGGGACAAGCAAUGGGGCUGAUGCUGUGCUCCAUGUGCAGCCCUACUCCAAAGGCCAACUCUUGGCCAAGAGGCCUUGCGCCAUCAAGUCCUUGUAGCCAGAAGACCUGAAAAGUGGAUCAAGCUGGUGGCCUCUCCUGAUGAUGGCAAGCAGCCAUGACCUGCCAGGACAAGUGGGCAGCAGCAAUUCACAAUGUCUUCUCUGACAGCACAGGAGAGCUGGUGCACCUGAGUGAAACCCUUGAAAUCAAGAACACAAGGGGAAACCAAACCAUGAAAGGAUAGAAGGGAUGGAGGACCCCUGCUUGUGCCUGGUACACUGACUGGCACUCUGACUCCUGCUCCAAGCCCUUCCUUCAGACUACUGCCUGACCUCAGAGCUGGGCUGAGCUUCACCAAUAGAUGUGUCUUCCUCCUCGCCUGCUCCGCUGGAGUAAGUGGCCUCAUCUCUGCAAAGUAAGCACAUGAAGAGAAGCUAAGUGGGAAUCCGGGCUGUAUUCAUGCUGAGAGCUGGCCAAAGAAGGAGAAAACAUCGAUCUCAAAAGGGUUUUCAAGAUUUGGACAUCUGGCUUCAUCUUUGACUAUGCUCAAACAUGAUCUGUCAACUCCUAUCAAGAAAAAUAAGAGGAAGAACAGCCUAGCCUUUAAAAGUCAGUACUGCCAUAGAAUCAUACAAUCAACUAGGUUGGAAAAGACCUCAUGGCUAGAAAGUUCAUGAAACACAUGUGAGAAAAAAGAUUAGUCUGAACUCAUGACUUUAACACUAAUCUACACCCUACAGUUCCUUUCUCACUUGUUGUGCUAAGAAAUUCUGGCCAGAAUACAAGAAAGUGAAAUGCAAAAAAAGCUCUUAAGAGUAAUAAUAAUCUACCAAAACUAAAGCUAAAUUAUGGAACAUCCAUGUUCCUCAGUUGUUCCGUGUUUGAGAAAAUUCAUGGUAGGGUGUAAAGAUUUUACCUAUCUGAGCCUUGGAUGGUUUCAUUAUUAGCAGGCCACAAAUGAAUUAGGUGGAUGAUGCAAAAGUGACUGCCAAUA